CAGUCGCCACGGGAAUACGUAGGGUGCAAGCGUUAAUCGGAAUUACUGGGCGUAAAGCGUGCGCAGGCGGUUUGUUAAGACAGAUGUGAAAUCCCCGGGCUUAACCUGGGAACUGCAUUUGUGACUGGCGAGCUAGAGUAUGGCAGAGGGGGGUAGAAUUCCACGUGUAGCAGUGAAAUGCGUAGAGAUGUGGAGGAAUACCGAUGGCGAAGGCAGCCCCCUGGGCCAAUACUGACGCUCAUGCACGAAAGCGUGGGGAGCAAACAGGAUUAGAGACCCGCGUAGUCCCUGUCUCUUAUAC
rnacentral:rRNA from 1 species